CCUACGGGGGGCUGCAGUGGGGAAUAUUGGACAAUGGGGGCAACCCUGAUCCAGCCAUGCCGCGUGUGUGAAGAAGGCCCUCGGGUUGUAAAGCACUUUCAGUGAGGAAGAACGCCUGGUGGUUAAUACCCAUCAGGAAAGACAUCACUCACAGAAGAAGCACCGGCUAACUCCGUGCCAGCAGCCGCGGUAAUACGGAGGGUGCGAGCGUUAAUCGGAAUUACUGGGCGUAAAGCGCGCGUAGGUGGCUUGAUAAGCCGGUUGUGAAAGCCCCGGGCUCAACCUGGGAACGACAUCCGGAACUGUCAAGCUAGAGUGCAGGAGAGGAAGGUAGAAUUCCCGGUGUAGCGGUGAAAUGCGUAGAGAUCGGGAGGAAUACCAGUGGCGAAGGCGGCCUUCUGGACUGACACUGACACUGAGGUGCGAAAGCGUGGGUAGCAAACAGGAUUAGAUACCCUGGUAGUC
rnacentral:rRNA from 1 species